AACGCUAUUAUUAAUUCAAAAUAUUGGCCACAUAAUCCAGGUCUGAGUACUUCAGAAGAAAAAAAUAGACCCAAUGUCUUGAUAAUAUUUAUAUGUCUUCAUUUCAUUUUCAUAUUCUGUCUUUGACCACUGCUGUUUUUAGUGACAGAUAACAUUCUUAAUGGAGAAUAUUUGUGGAAAAUAUUUACUAUGAUCUGAAUGCUUGUUUUUCUCCUCACCUCCAUAUAUAUGUUGAAAUUUUAACCCCCAAAGUUGAGGGUCUCAGGAGAUGGGGCCUUUGGUGGUGAUUAGGUCACCAGGGUGGAAGCCUCAUGAAGAGACCCCACAGAGCUUCCUAGCUCCUUCCUCUGAACAGUGAGAAAACCCCAGCUCUGAACCAGAAGAGGUCCUAGAACAUGACCAUGCUGGUGCCUUGCUCUUGAAAUUCCCAGCUUCCAGAAUUGUGAGCAAUAAGUUUUUGCUGUUUAUAAGCUGCUCAGUCUGUGGUAUUUUAUUAUAGCAGCACGAACAGACUGAGACCAUAUAAAAUGAAUUAUUAUUCUUUCCUUUGGUGGCAUAUAACCUCCUCCUUGUCAGCUUCUAGGAGAUGAAUUGACUUAAUCAGGACUUUGCUGAUACCACAGUCUUUGGCAGGACUUCGUGGCUCAUUGCUGAUCCCAGGAAAAGACUGAGAGCCUACAAAUGAAGUUUUCAAUAUUUGUGGAAAGAGAAUCAACAAAUGCUGAGUCACAGUGUUCCUGCAUUCCACAUCCUUGCUGCUGGGCCGUUGCUGCAGGCAGCCAUGGCCACUGACGCAGAACAUGCCAGGCUCCAGUGAGAGCUCUUGCUGCAAUCCUCAGCACAGAAAGAACUCUCCAGAACAGAGAGAGAGAAAGAGAGGAAGACUGUGUGGAAGAGGGCAGAGCCUUAAAAAGAGCCUUAAGCAGGCUCCAUGCCCCGUGUGGAACUUGUUGCAGGGCUUGAUCUCAUGGCCCUGAGAUCAUGACCUGAGCCAAAAUCAAGAGUCUGACACUUAACCAACUGAGUC